rnacentral:rRNA from 1 species
UACGUAGGGUGCGAGCGUUGUCCGGAAUUAUUGGGCGUAAAGAGCUUGUAGGCGGUCUGUCGCGUCUGCUGUGAAAAUCCGGGGCUCAACCCCGGACUUGCAGUGGGUACGGGCAGACUAGAGUGUGGUAGGGGAGACUGGAAUUCCUGGUGUAGCGGUGAAAUGCGCAGAUAUCAGGAGGAACACCGAGUGGCGAAGGCAGGUCUCUGGGCCAUAACUGACGCUGAGAAGCGAAAGCAUGGGGAGCGAACAGG